GGAAGGAUCAUUAACAAAUUCCAAAACUCGUCUUCCGGACAGAUCUGGACUGUCCUUUCUCGUCAAGAGGAGGGCAGUCUGGAUCUAUCCGGACUACAAAUACAUUUACUUUACUGGACAACCACAGGCAACCAAACCAAGGAUAAACCAAUGGUAAAAACAACUUUUAACAAUGGAUCUCUUGGCUCUUGCAACGAUGAAGAACGCAGCGAACUGCGAAACGUAAUGUGACCUGCAAUCUUCGUGAAUCAUCCAAUCUUUGAACGCAAUUUGCACCGGAGGAUGCAUGUCCCCCGGUAUACUUGUUUGAGUAUCCGAAACACUCUCACUCCCCCCUCGGGGCGGCGUGGAUCUGAUGAGAUUCCAGCGCUUCACGGCCUGGUCUCUUGAAAGACAUGAGUCCCGCUUUGUGGAAGGUCUCCACUGGCUCAGAUGUGACUAUUGGGAUAACAUCCUAACAAUCGUCCUCUGGGUAUUAACGUGUUGACCAACCUGUGGACUCACCCUGGACGUUUCUGUUUACGCAGAAGCUCCAUGCGAAUCAUCCUCGUGGUGAUAAGCCGUUCUCUGGAUCUCAAAUCAAGUAAGGAUACCCGCUGAACUUAAGCAUAUCAGUAAGCGGAGGAAAAGAAACUAACAAGGAUUCCCCUAGUAACGGCGAGUGAAGCGGGAAGAGCUCAAAUUUAAAAUCUGGCAUCCUUUGGGUGUCCGAAUUGUGAUUGAGAGGCUUGUCUUUGGAUAGCUGGGAGGACUUAAGUUCUCUGGAAAGGGACAACAAAGAGGGUGACAUUCCCGUCUGGGUUCUUCCGGUGCGUCCAUACAAAGGCAGGUCAACGAGUCGGAUUGUUUGGGAAUGCAGUCCAAAAUGGGUGGUACAUUUCAUCUAAAGCUAAAUAUUGGCAAGAGACCGAUAGCGAACAAGUACCGUGAGGGAAAGAUGAAAAGAACUUUGAAAAGAGAGUUAAAAAGUACGUGAAAUUGUUAAAAGGGAAACGAUUGAGACCAGUGAUGCUCUUUGUCCUUGAGCGGCCCCCUCGGGGACCGUGUUUGGGCAAGGAGCACGUGGACGCUCCUUGAGACUCUUGGAAAAGACAGGGGGAAAGGUGGCUCUGUCCUUACGGACAGUUGCGUUAUAGUCCUCCUGGGAUACAAGAGACUCGAGGUGACAGGUAGGCCCGCAAGGGUCACGCCCACGAAAUGGUCUUAAACGACCCGUCUUGAAACACGGACCAAGGAGUCUAACAACUAUGCGAGUAUUUGAGUGGCAAACUCGAAUGCGCAAAGAAACUGAACGCAUGGGAUCGGUUGGCUUACGGGUCAUCCGUGCACCAUGGGCCGGUUCAAGUCUUUGACUUGGAUUGCGCUAGAGCAUAUCUGUUGGGACCCGAAAGAUGGUGAACUAUGCCUGAAUAGGGUGAAGCCAGGGGAAACUCUGGUGGAGGCUCGUAGACAUUCUGACGUGCAAAUCGAUGUUCAAAUUUGGGUAUAGGGGCGAAAGACUAAUCGAACCAUCUAGUAGCUGGUUCCCUC
rnacentral:misc_RNA from 1 species